UCGAGGAUCUUCGGCAAUGGACGCAAGUCUGACCGAGCGACGCCGCGUGCGGGAUGAAGGCCUUCGGGUUGUAAACCGCUGUCAGUGGGGAGAAAAUUCAUACGGGUACUCUCGUAUGAUUGAUCUAUCCGCAGAGGAAGUGUGGGCUAAGUUCGUGCCAGCAGCCGCGGUAAGACGAACCACACAAACGUUAUUCGGAAUUACUGGGCUUAAAGGGUGCGUAGGCUGCGCAGAAAGUUGGGUGUGAAAUACCUCGGCUCAACCGAGGAACUGCGCCCAAAACUACUGUGCUCGAGGGAGAUAGAGGUAAGCGGAACUGAGGGUGGAGCGGUGAAAUGCGUUGAUAUCCUCAGGAACACCGGUGGCGAAAGCGGCUUACUGGAUCUCUUCUGACGCUGAGGCACGAAAGCUAGGGUAGCGAACGGGAUUAGAUACCCCCGUAGUCC
rnacentral:rRNA from 1 species